AUUGACCUGUCUUUCCUUUUUUUCUUCAUUUUUUCUUCCCCUUUUCCUCCGACCUUUUCAAGUUUGCUAUCAGAUGAGGGGUGGAAGGUGGAAUCUUCUCCUGUGAAUCACCUGAGACAGGGAAAAUGAUUGAUAAUAUUUUUUAACAAUAUUUCCAAAAGAUUGUGCAGU
rnacentral:ribozyme from 14 species